UUCCUCCUUGCAGGUGUUUUUCAGGGCCUGUGGAUGCCUACAUUAGAUAGUUACUCUGUUUUCUCCAAACAGACAAAAUGGUUGUGGCUUUUCUAGUGUGAACUGGAACUUACAGAAAUUAUAUGUGGAAUAAUCAUGUAUGGAUUUAGUUUUUGGACACAAAAUGGAGAGUUCUAGUACAAGGGAAGAAAAACAUAUGGACAAAUGCUGUGGAAAAAGUAUGUGUAGCCCAUGGGACAUGCUAACAACACUCUCCAGCUGGGAUUGGGAACAAGGUGCUGGAGUUUUUUAAUGGAAAAGUGCCAUCUCUCUUGCAUCAUGCGGUGCAGUAUAAAGAAGCGGUCAUCACAUUAAAGUUGUGCUGGGCUCUGGCAGGGUUAUAUUAGAUGUCAGAAACAAUCCGCCCAGCCUGUCUGCAUCUCUCCUGCGUCUCAGGUGCUUGCAGCUGCCCCUCAAAGUGAAGAGAUAACACAACUACCCAAAAAGUGCUUUGUUCCAGCAAAUUGCAAAGCCACCUGGUUGGGGAGGAUGGACUGUGGUGCUCAUGCGCAGCGGAUGAUAAUACAGAUCUCCUUAUUUGCUACGAGGGAAGAUGAGAAUAGGCAAGAUGAUUUGAGGUCACAAUGCCUUUUAUUAUUCUGUCCUUUUGCAAAUUCGAAUCUAUAUUUUGGAUCCUGUUAAAGUGAAAAACACACAAAAUAAACCAUCUGUUGCAUGUCAGUCGCACAUGUUGCUGCAAUUUCAGAAAAAUAGGAGCACAGCAAAUGCAUUCACUGUUUAUAUAUAAUUAGUUUCUUGUAUCAACAUUGAAUAUAUAUAUAUAUAUAUAUAUAUUAUAUAUAUAUAUAUAUAUAUAUAUAUAUCAAUAAUAAAACAUUUAUGUUGCAUAAAAAUCCAUGUUAAGGGUUAUUCAUAUAAUAUAAUAUGCAAUAUAAAUAUCCUUAUUUAGCAUUCCCCUCACGUCAUGAUCAUACAACCAAAACGACCUUUCCUUUUUCGCCCAGAAACAACAAAUUUCAGACGCUUUUUCUAUUUUUUCAAGGAAAACACUGACAACAUCAAUGCCGUGAAUUAUCACCUCAGUCAACACUGUCAGUCAUGACCAAAGUCCCAAGAUAUAUAUCACACAAACUGACAUAUAAAAGGCUGUUGAUGUCGCAGUCUACUUUGAAUUUCAAGCUCGGGGACACAGAAGAACCUGACAAGCAACAAUCAUAAGGAAGAACAGAAAAACAGGUGUGCACCUGGCUUUAGAUGUCUUGUAGUAUCCAACAAACAAUUCACUUGUUUAACCUUUGCAUCCAAUCACACAACAACAUGUAUUCAUAAAGCAUUACAAAACGGGACUGCUGAUCU